rnacentral:rRNA from 1 species
GACGAACGCUGGCGGCGUGCUUAACACAUGCAAGUCGAACGGAAAGGCCCUGCUUUUGUGGGGUGCUCGAGUGGCGAACGGGUGAGUAACACGUGAGUAACCUGCCCUUGACUUUGGGAUAACUUCAGGAAACUGGGGCUAAUACCGGAUAGGAGCUCCUGCUGCAUGGUGGGGGUUGGAAAGUUUCGGCGGUUGGGGAUGGACUCGCGGCUUAUCAGCUUGUUGGUGGGGUAGUGGCUUACCAAGGCUUUGACGGGUAGCCGGCCUGAGAGGGUGACCGGAGAGGUGGGGCCGGGGAGACGGCCUAGGCGCAGAGGGGGGCGGGCAGUGGGCAAGAUGAGACAGGGGGUGGAGGCCUCGCGCCGCAUGGGGGUGGGAGGGAGGCGGGCCCGUGUGUUGAAACCCGCCUCCGCGUGUGGCGAAGCGUGAGUGACGUUAGUGGGUAAAGAAGCACGGGCUACCCACGGGCAGGCAGCUCCGGACGCAUGGAAGAGCACUCGGCUGACC